rnacentral:rRNA from 1 species
GCAGCCGCGGUAAUACGGAGGGUGCAAGCGUUAAUCGGAAUUACUGGGCGUAAAGCGCACGCAGGCGGUUUGUUAAGUCAGAUGUGAAAUCCCCGGGCUCAACCUGGGAACUGCAUCUGAUACUGGCAAGCUUGAGUCUCGUAGAGGGGGGUAGAAUUCCAGGUGUAGCGGUGAAAUGCGUAGAGAUCUGGAGGAAUACCGGUGGCGAAGGCGGCCCCCUGGACGAAGACUGACGCUCAGGUGCGAAAGCGUGGGGGAGCAAACAGGAUUAGAUACCCUGGUAGUCCACGCCGUAAACGAUGUCGACUUGGAGGUUGUGCCCUUGAGGCGUGGCUUCCGGAGCUAACGCGUUAAGUCGACCGCCUGGGGAGUACGGCCGCAAGUUAAAACUCAAAUGAAUUGACGGGGGCCCGCACAAGCGGUGGAGCAUGUGGUUUGAUUCGAUGCAACGCGAAGAACCUUACCUGGUCUUGACAUCCA